rnacentral:lncRNA from 1 species
UCCGUUCAGGUCCGUUAGGGUUUUUUACUUUGUUUCAGAAAUUGAAAUGCAUAAUUUGUUGUUGUUGUUGUUGUUGUUAUUGAUAAUACACUAUGCGCCGGCUUGUGCUUUUGAAAAUGAUGACAAUGAAAUUAUGGAAUCAUCUCUGAAAUUCAAGAUUACGUUUGAAUAUAGUUCAUAUGAGAUAAUUUUAUGUAUAAAGCACCGAGACACGGACACCAGACACUACACUGAUACAGAUACAUCGUGAUGAUUUGAGAAAAUGAAUUAUGAAGCACAAAUACGGACAUGUCAAGGACACUGACACACCAACACCGCUAAUAAUCUGAGAAAAUCACAUAAUUCAGAGUAAUUAUAUGUGUUGGCGUUGUGUCAGUGUCGGACACGACCCGCGUCUGACACUGGGACACACCUAAUGCAAGAGUGUCCGUGCUUCAUAGAUUGAUGCGUCAAAAAGUAGACAUGCCUAAUCUUAGAGGUUUCUGUGCCUUACAGUCAGGACUAAAUUAAUCGUUCCUUGUUGACUACUGUGAUCAAAUAUUUUAGGGAUAUCAUUUUAAAAUGUUUUUAAUUUCAUGGACCAAAUUUCCUUAUCACUGGAAUAUCAGGUUUUAGGAUUAAAAUUGUGAUAAGCUCAAAUCAAAUUGUUAACAUCUACUUGUUUUGUAUAAUUUAGCAUUUUUCCUAUUAAGAAUUUAUAAACUAGUUGAUCUUUUAUCUGACCAUUUUUACUGUAAGCACUGAGCUAUAUUUUCAUUGUUCUGUUCCUGGUUUUUAUGUUUAAUGGUUUUGAUAAAGUUGGAUGAUAAUUUUUUUGAUGUUUUGACAGGUGAUGGACAUAAAACGAUUGAACAACAUGAUGAGCGAUCAUGGUAUAUACUCAAGGGAAAGGUUAUUAAUUCCUAUUAGUAAUCCUAAUAUUCUUGUUAAAAGAACUUGCUUUAUUGAGCUGGAUGACAAUGCAAAACGAGAAGUUGCAGUGUUGUAUCCGGAUGAUGUACCUGACAUAAAGAGUAGCUAUGUAUCAAACAGAAUAUCCUCAGAAGAAAGCAACAAAAAGGUGCUUGAUUCCUUGAAGAGAAGCAUGCAAGUUGAUAGUGAAACUGCUCAAUACUACUGGUCUGUUUCAAAUGGCGAUCCUCGAGCUGCU